GAAAUGCGAUAAGUAAUGUGAAUUGCAGAAUUCAGUGAAUCAUCGAAUCUUUGAACGCACAUUGCACCCGCCAGUAUUCUGGCGGGCAUGCCUGUCCGAGCGUCAUUUCAACCAUCAAGCCCCCGGGCUUGUGUUGGGGACCUGCGGCUGCCCGCAGGCCCUGAAAACCAGUGGCGGGCUCGCUGUCACACCGAGCGUAGUAGCAAUCACCUCGCUCAGGGCGUGCUGCGGGUUCCGGCCGUUAAACAGCCUUACAAAACCCAAGGUUGACCUCGGAUCAGGUAGGAAGACCCGCUGAACUUAAGC
rnacentral:misc_RNA from 1 species